rnacentral:rRNA from 1 species
AGAGCGAACGCUGGCGGCAGGCCUAACACAUGCAAGUCGAGCGCGUGUAGCAAUACACGAGCGGCAGACGGGAGAGUAACACGUGGGAACGCGCCCUUCGGUUCGGAAUAACUCAGGGAAACUUGAGCUAAUACCGGAUACGCCCUUACGGGGAAAGAUUUAUUGCCGAAGGAACGGCCCGCGUCCGAUUAGCUAGUUGGUGAGGUAACGGCUCACCAAGGCGACGAUCGGUAGCUGGUCUGAGAGGAUGACCAGCCUCACUGGGACUGAGACACGGCCCAGACUCCUACGGGAGGCAGCAGUGGGGAAUAUUGGACAAUGGGCGCAAGCCUGAUCCAGCCAUGCCGCGUGGAUGAUGAAGGCCUUAGGGUUGUAAAGUCCGUUUUAACGGGGAAGAUAAUGACGGUACCGUAGAAUAAGCCCGGACUAACUCGCGCCAGCAGCCGC